rnacentral:rRNA from 1 species
UACGUAGGGGGCAAGCGUUGUCCGGAAUUAUUGGGCGUAAAGCGCGCGCAGGCGGUCAAGUAAGUCUGGUGUAUAAACCAAGGGCUCAACCUUUGGACGCAUUGGAAACUGUUUGACUGGAGUGUAGGAGAGGAAAGUGGAAUUCCACGUGUAGCGGUGAAAUGCGUAGAGAUGUGGAGGAACACCAGUGGCGAAGGCGACUUUCUGGCCUAUAACUGACGCUGAGGCGCGAAAGCGUGGGGAGCAAACAGG